CCUACGGGAGGCAGCAGUGGGGAAUAUUGCGCAAUGGGCGAAAGCCUGACGCAGCGACGCCGCGUGAGGGAUGAAGGUCUUCGGAUCGUAAACCUCUGUCAGCAGGGAAGAACGGUCACUGUGCUAAGCAGCAGUGAAUUGACGGUACCUGCAAGGGAAGCACCGGCUAACUCCGUGCCAGCAGCCGCGGUAAUACGGAGGGUGCGAGCGUUAAUCGGAAUUACUGGGCGUAAAGGGCGCGUAGGCGGUAUGUCAAGUCAAGGGUGAAAUCCCCGCGCUCAACGUGGGAACUGCCUUUGAAACUGGCAAACUUGAGUGUGUGAGAGGAGAGUGGAAUUCCAGGUGUAGGAGUGAAAUCCGUAGAUAUCUGGAGGAACAUCAGUGGCGAAGGCGACUAUCUGGCACAUAACUGACGCUGAGGAGCGAAAGCGUGGGUAGCAAACAGGAUUAGAUACCCGAGUAGUC
rnacentral:rRNA from 1 species